CUGAAAAACGUAAUUUCAUCUUACCAGAGUGGUUCUAAUAGAAUGUAAGUUGAGUAACAACUGUUGGGCCGUGUUUUGAGAUGAUUGUGAGAGUGUUAUUGUGUGGUAUUUUGUUGUAAUAAGCAUCAGUGUAUCAUUUGCAGAAUGCUAAUAUGUAGUAAGUAUAGAGGCAAUCUGCAACUUCAGAAAAUUUAUUGUAGAGUUUGUUCUAGGCUAACCAGACAAUAUUGAGUACAUGAGUUAAGGGGAAAGCCUGUGAUUUGAUGAGCAUGGCAUUCACAGUUGUCUGCCACCAUGUUGUACUUACGUUCUGGUAACGCCAUGUUCAAGAGUAAUGGUGUAUAAGGCGCGAAUGUUGUGGAAAGGUUGUGUAAAUGUUAAAUGGAUUAUUUUGGCUUUUGCUGUUAUCCUUUAGCCAUGAGUGUUUUGUUUAAGUUCUGCGUAUGUAAAUAUGUAAAGUUAUUUUGAAUUAAUUUGUAUUUAUUUUGCUUUUGAAAGAAUCCUUUGUGUAACUGUUAAGGUUCAAAAUAUAGGGAAGUAAAAACAGGCGGAAUGCAAGUAACCACACUGGUCCAAAGGGUAAAGACAAUGAUUUUAAUGAAAUGACACGCGUGGGAGAAUGAGCGGACUCUAUGAGCAGACAGCCCCAAAAUCUCAUCCUCCAAACAUCAAAAUACAGUUUUAUAUGCAUCAGAGUAUAUUUUGUGACGCCCCCUCAUUGCGUCAGUACAUCAACUUCAAAACCACAAAUGUUCUAUUUGACAACUUGAGACACCAUCAAAGUACACUGGCCUCCAUCCUCUCCCCAGUGGUUUCCCGUAAGCCAGCUCAGCUCUGGCAUCGUGCAUCUGCUUCUUCAUCAAACAGUCACAGGAAGCAUGCUCAACUUUCACCUACACCCUAACAGUAUGUGUAUGUAUGUGUGUGUAUGUCUGUCUGUGCGUUUAUUUUUUAAUGAAAUCUGUUAUUUUAUUUGACGAAUGCUUGGGUUAAUGUGAUUUGUAUUGUGUGUAUGUUGAGUGAAUGAAUGGCCGCUAAGAAAUAAAUGAACUCCAGCCUGAGCAAGACGCUAACUUCAGUGUCCUCUCUAUUAAUCCAAUUUUUAUAAUUGGCUCUGCAGUGGUCUCUAGUCUGUGCCACUUGCUGCCAGUCCAGAUUUCUGCUAGGUCUGGAACAGGUAACAACUGGGGGCUCGUCCAGGAUUGUCUAGUGACUCAGCAUAGUGAAGUGCCUGCCAAUUACCAGAACUGGUGUCCAAAGCUUCGGGGAAGGCUUCAUUGAGUGUGUCAUCCAGAGAGCCGGUCCCUGCCACUACGUGGUUAUGUAAUUGACCAGUGAACAGGGGUGUGAGGAAUCAGCAUUGGGUGGAUGCUGGCUACUAAUACAGACUCACUACGUUAAUGGCGUCACACAGACGCUCGGAGGCAAUGGGGUGCAUGACGGAGUGGCAGAGCACCUGCAGCAGCAUCAGUGACUUCAGGCCUUCUCUGUGCAGUCGGCCACAAUCCAACCACAGUCAGCCACUUUGAAAAAAAAGCCUUUGAAAGUGUCAGUAUAAAAACUAUUGUUCAACUCUCACCCCAACCAGUCACGGUGGAUGGCUGCCCCUCCCUGAGUCUGUCCUUCCCACUGUCACAAAAGUGCUUGCUCAUAGAGGAUCAUAUGAUUGUUGGGUUUUUCGUAUAUGUAUUAUUGUAGGGUCUACCUUACAAUAUAAAGCACCUUCAGGUGACUGUUGAAUUGAAUUUAAUCAAGUCUUCCAACUUGAUAACAAUCUUAAAAGCUCAUCCAGCAUGUAUUUGGCCCGUUAUCUUAAAGCCUUAUCUACAUCAAAUGACAUUUCAAUGGUCACCAGGACACAGAAGCUGCAUGUUUAAAUCACCAGUCAAAUUGGAUU